GACGAACGCUGGCGGCGUGCCUAAUACAUGCAAGUAGAACGCUGAAGAGAGGAGCUUACUCUUCUUGGAUGAGUUGCGAACGGGUGAGUAACGCGUAGGUAACCCGCCUUGUAGCGGGGGAUAAAUAUUGGAAACGAUAGCUAAUACCGCAUAACAAUGGAUGACACAUGUCAUUUAUUUGAAAGGGGCAAUUGCUCCACUACAAGAUGGACCUGCGUUGUAUUAGCUAGUAGGUGAGGUAAUGGCUCACCUAGGCGACGAUACAUAGCCGACCUGAGAGGGUGAUCGGCCACACUUGGAAUGAGACACGGCAAAGACUCCUACGGGAGGCAGCAGUAGGGAAUCUUCGGCAAUGGGGGCAACCCUGACCGAGCAACGCCGCGUGAGUGAAGAAGGUUUUCGGAUCGUAAAGCUCUGUUGUAAGUCAAGAACGGGUGUGAGAGUGGAAAGUUCACACUGUGACGGUAGCUUAUCAGAAAGGGACGGCUAACUACGUG
rnacentral:rRNA from 1 species